rnacentral:rRNA from 1 species
AGAGUUUGAUCCUGGCUCAGAUUGAACGCUGGCGGCAUGCCUUACACAUGCAAGUCGAACGGCAGCGCGGGAGCAAUCCUGGCGGCGAGUGGCGAACGGGUGAGUAAUACAUCGGAACGUGCCCAAUCGUGGGGGAUAACGCAGCGAAAGCUGUGCUAAUACCGCAUACGAUCUACGGAUGAAAGCAGGGGACCGCAAGGCCUUGCGCGACUGGAGCGGCCGAUGGCAGAUUAGGUAGUUGGUGGGGUAAAGGCUCACCAAGCCUUCGAUCUGUAGCUGGUCUGAGAGGACGACCAGCCACACUGGGACUGAGACACGGCCCAGACUCCUACGGGAGGCAGCAGUGGGGAAUUUUGGACAAUGGGCGCAAGCCUGAUCCAGCCAUGCCGCGUGCAGGAUGAAGGCCUUCGGGUUGUAAACUGCUUUUGUACGGAACGAAAAGGUUCUCUCUAAUAAAGAGGGCUCAUGACGGUACCGUAAGAAUAAGCACCGGCUAACUACGUGCCAGCAGCCGCGGUAAUACGUAGGGUGCAAGCGUUAAUCGGAAUUACUGGGCGUAAAGCGUGCGCAGGCGGUUAUGUAAGACAGUUGUGAAAUCCCCGGGCUCAACCUGGGAACUGCAUCUGUGACUGCAUAGCUAGAGUACGGUAGAGGGGGAUGGAAUUCCGCGUAGCAGUGAAAUGCGUAGAUAUGCGGAGGAACACCGAUGGCGAAGGCAAUCCCCUGGACCUGUACUGACGCUCAUGCACGAAAGCGUGGGGAGCAAACAGGAUUAGAUACCCUAGUAGUCC